rnacentral:rRNA from 1 species
GACGAACGCUGGCGGCGUGCUUAACACAUGCAAGUCGAACGGAAAGGCCCUGCUUUUGUGGGGUGCUCGAGUGGCGAACGGGUGAGUAACACGUGAGUAACCUGCCCUUGACUUUGGGAUAACUUCAGGAAACUGGGGCUAAUACCGGAUAGGAGCUCCUGCUGCAUGGUGGGGGUUGGAAAGUUUCGGCGGUUGGGGAUGGACUCGCGGCUUAUCAGCUUGUUGGUGGGGUAGUGGCUUACCAAGGCUUUGACGGGUAGCCGGCCUGAGAGGGUGACCGGCCACAUUGGGACUGGGAACCGGCCCAGACUCCUACGGGGGGCAGGGGGGGGGAAUAUUGCACAAGGGGGGGAAGCCGGAUGCAGCAACGCCGGGUGGGGGAUGACGGCCUUCGGGUUGUAAACCGCUUUCGCCUGUGACGAAGGGUGGGGGGCGGUAAUGGGUAAAGAAGCACCGGCUAACUACGU